CGAAAGGGUGCGUAACACGUGGGUAAUUUGUCUGAGAGUUCAGGAUAAUUCGCUGAAAGGCGGAGUAAUACUGGAUGUGGAUAUUGGCUGGGAACGGUUGAUGUCUAAAGCUGGGGACCGCAAGGCCUGGUGCUCUUUGGUAAGCCCGCGUCCUAUCAGCUGGUUGGUGAGGUAAAGGCUCACCAAGGCGGAGACGGGUAGCUGGUCUGAGAGGACGACCAGCCACACUGGAACUGAGACACGGUCCAGACACCUACGGGUGGCAGCAGUCGAGAAUUUUUCUCAAUGGGGGAAACCCUGAAGGAGCGACGCCGCGUGGGGGAUGAAGGGCCUCGGCUCGUAAACCCCUGUCAUUUGUGAGCAAGUGUUAUUGUUUAAGAGAUGAUGACAUUGAUAGUAGCAAAAGAGGAAGGGACGGCUAACUCUGUGCCAGCAGCCGCGGUAAUACAGAGGUCCCAAGCGUUGUUCGGAAUCACUGGGCGUAAAGGGUGCGUAGGCGGUAUGGUAAGACUUGGGUGAAAUCUCCAUGCUUAACGUGGAGGGAGCCUGGGAGACUGCCGUGCUGGAGGAUUGGAAGGGAGACUGGAAUUCUUGGAGUAGCAGUGAAAUGCGUAGAUAUCAAGAGGAACACCAGUGGCGAAGGCGAGUCUCUGGACAAGACCUGACGCUGAGGCACGAAGGCCAGGGGAUCAAACGGGAUUAGAUACCCCGGUAGUCCUGGCAGUAAACGGUGCACACUUGCUGUGUGAGGGAUCGACCCCUUACGUGGCGAAGCCAACGCGAUAAGUGUGCCGCCUGGGGAGUACGGUCGCAAGACUAAAACUCAAAGAAAUUGACGGGGGCCUGCACAAGCGGUGGAGUAUGUGGCUUAAUUCGAUGCAACGCGAAGAACCUUACCUGGCCUUGACAUGCAGAUAUUAG
rnacentral:rRNA from 1 species